GUAAAUCACUUGAGAAUGCCUGCUAAUACUGCUCAUAUGCAAGCGUUUUAGGUGGUUUCUAAAAUUAUGCUGGAUCUUGGACACCAACAGGACAGCACAUUUGGUCAUAGUCAUGUCCAGAAGUGAGCAAAGGCAAGGUUUCACCCUUCGGGACUCUUCAACACGCCAACGAACAGAGAAAAACUGAAAGGAGAAUACAUUGUGAAACAUUGCUGGUACCCGCAGUAUUUUACUUGCCUGUAAGCUCCACUUCAACUGGUCAUGAUUUCAAAAAAUUCACCUUCAGUAUUCUUGGUAAAUAGUCAUGAAUAAUAAAGAGGCUCCAAUCCAGAAAGAUACUCAUCCGAAAGGGAUUUAAACUGAAUUAGUCUUCUAAAUGUAUCACUGAAGCCAUUCAUUCAAGAAAUCAACCAUCAACGGCAAUAUCCAGCAGAACCUAAAAGUUCAACUCUUCAUGACACAAGUAUUAAAAUCAUGACUUUAUAAGUGAUGGCCAUGCAAGCCCUCUAUAGAAUAGAUCAUUAAGAAGUUCAGAGGUGUGCAAUGGAAAGCAAGAGUAUUCUGGCCAAAACAAAUCUUAUAAAAUCGAAACCCCAAAAUAUCGUGGGAAAGUACUGUAGCUUUGGCAUAAUCUGCUAAUGAUCAUAAAGCAGCAUGGAUAACAGCCACAGAGAAAAUCAGGGUGCUGUUCUCACCUUGGAAAGUACAAGAUUAGGAGAACAGGAGCCAGAAAAUAGCAAAACUGGAGCAAGUAGUAAAACAUGAGCCAUAAUGAAAAGCAUUUCAUAAAGUGAACCUCAGAAUCCUGCUACUUUACAGCAAUGUGGAGGGAUGGUGGAGGAGAAACAGUGUUUGACAUUAGCCCAUAUACAUGUCUGUUCAUUUAAAUGUAUAAAGAAGCCAAUAGAAGGAAAGAGAGCAUUCUUCCCAACUUGUCCCAGUCAACACAAUUAGUUAGUUCUGCAUUCAAAAUCAAGAAAUUAAACACAGAGGUGUGAAUCACUCCAAGAAACCAUCUUAAUCCAGUCAGAUGCAGAUUGAUUGGAUUUGAAUGCCAAAUAUAUGAUCGUAUAUUCAAUCCAUGUAACUAAAUACACACACGCUAGGCAAUGACUGAUAAAUUGUAAUUCUUAGAAUUUAGAAUUAGACAAAUUUUUGGGUGAUCACUUGUAAUCCCCAAUUUCUUUUCUUUUUUCUUGGUAUGAAAUCCUGCUCUCAAAUGUCCUUUUCUUCUGUCAGUCAAAGGCCGAGAUGACAACUUGCAGGCAACAAUGAAGUUUAUCGUCUACAAUGAUGGAAAAUGGUUCACAUUUGUCAGGUUCUUCCCACUGAACUUAAAUUGACUAGAAAUGAGGUGUUUUGCUGUGUGAAUUGGUUGGUAUAGGUUCACAGUUUCCCAAGUGUUUAGCAAAAGUCCCAUUCUCUCACAUGUUUCAAAGAUAAAGUUGGCAAUGACCUUGAGCUUAUUUUAUGAAGAAAGGGUGGUGAACUUAAUGGACUUUGGAAGAAAAAGAGGUGAUUUUACUGAAACAUAUCUUGAAUGGACUUGACAGGGUGAAUUUUGAGAAGAGGUUUUCUCAUAUAUGAGGGGCUACAACUGGAAUAAACAUUCUUGCUGGCAGCAAAGGAGCAAGAAAAAAUAUUUUCUUAGUUUUCUCCAGACAGAAAACAGUGGAGGCUGUGUCACUAAACAUAGUCAUGGUAGAGUUUGAUAGUUUCUUUGAUAGUCAAGAGACUCUAGAGUUAAAGAGUAGAGACAGGAAAGUAGAGUUAAGCCAAAAUCAUGUGUCGUGAUCUUAUUGAGAGGAGGAGAAAGCUUGAAGGGCCAAAUACUUACUCAUUUUUCUAAGACUAAGCCCUGCUCAUCCAAAACUGGAUGGUGAAAAAGUUUAUAUUAAUUCAGCAGCAAUAGAAUAAUUAAGGGAUGUAGUCAGUGUUAUGGUAGAACACCAUUAGCACAGAUUUGAAAACUAACACUAGACCUUCAAAUUAUGUCACCAAUUGGAAUCACAAGGAUAAGAAAUAAGAAAGGGUCAAUGAUUAGUCCUUGGAGGACACUAGAAGUAACAGUAUGACAGCAGGAGGAGAAGCCAUUGCAAAUGAUACUACUGUCAUAAUUAAAUAAUUAAUAUGUUACAGAUAAUUGGUCGGUUUGGACAUGGUGAGGCAAAGGGCAUGCUUCUAUGGUGUGUGACUCUAUAAGAACCACUUGAGAGCAAUUCUAUCCAUCUGGAUGACAGUGGAGAGUCACUGGUGGAGGAUGGCGUUGGGAGAUGCAAAAUUGGAAGAUUUAAACAUACAAACACAGAAAGGUCAAAGCAGAGUUGAGUCACUUGGAGGUAGAAGUCAGAAUUGUCUUUCAUCUCUUUGCAUAUCAUGAAUCUGUCCACAUCUACUUUAAAAAUAUUCAUAGAUCCGAUUCCUCAGAAUGUGCUAGAAGCAAUGUCCAAUGACUUGCAAUCUUGUCUUAACUGGGAACCCCUUAUUUUUAAAUGGUGACCCCCCCCCCGUUCUAGAUUCUCCCAGAAGAGUAAAUAAACCUUUCCACAUUCACCCUGUCAAGCCUUCUCGAGAUCUUGAACAUUUGAACCAAGUUGUCACUUACUACAUUAUUGGCGAUACAAGUGUUGCUUGUCCAACCAUAAGUCUUUUCUUUACCAGCCAUUCCAGUCUAUAGUUCCAGCAAAGACGGGCAUGGAUUUGGGAUAUCAAAACAUAUGAAAGCUUUGCGUAUUAGGGCAAUAUACUUGCAAAGAGGGAAAAAUAAUAGCAUAAUCAAGAUUUCUCUUGAUGGGUGUGGGUGAAGAAAAGGGAAAGUAAAUCACCUCUCUUUUCAAAUUAUUUCUUCUAAAACAUACCAAUUCCCAAAGACAUGUAGUGUGAUACAAAAUACAAUCUCCCACUGCUGUCCUGUUUUCACAGCAAAAAUGAUUAAGGUAAAUGCAUUUGAAACUCCCACCAAUAAUCAAAAGGUAAUAGUACUUGAAAUUACUAAUUACAUCAAAAUAUACAAGCAGUACAGAAGCUUUUUUUUGGAAAUAGCACAAAUGAUUUGGAUUGCAUCAUGAAAAGGUUAAAGUCAAAUGACUUUAAAGAGAAGUUACUGUCAAAGUGAAGAACAUUCAAGAGCUCCUGAUCAUAUCAGGCAUGAAAAAACUUGAGACAGAGAAGAACAACAGCAACACAAACUGAGUAACAUUUCAAUGAGCACAUCACUUGUUUAAUUGGACAAAUGUGGCUUACAGCCAUACGGGGACACAAGAACAAUUAAGUUUAAUAAUGACCAAAGAAGCAAGUCCUUAAUGUGGGUCUUAAAAGAUAUGGGGCAGGAGACAAAGUGGUUGAGGGAUGGAAUUCCAGAGAUUAGAGCCUUGUCACCAAAGAUAGACUAAAGGAAUUAGCAAAUGGACUGAGGCUGGAGUUAACAUUGGCUGGAAGGUUGGAGGAGGUUAUAUAACACGAAGGGAUUUGAACAAUGAGAACUUUGAAAAACAAAACAGAUUUUUGGACAAUGUAAGUCAGCAAGCACAAGCUAAUAGAUGAAUGGAACUUAGUCUAAGUUAAAGUAUGAGCAGUAACAUUUUGGAUGAACAAUUUAUUAAGGAUAGAAGAAGGAGGUUUUCUAUUUUUAGUGCUCUUUUAGACAAGUCAAGAAGUAAUUAAAGCAUGGCAUCAGAUAGGCUGAGGUGGAGGCAGACAUAAUAAUCCUUGGAAGUAGGUGGUCUGAGUGGCAAGAAAGAAUAUGGGAGUCAGUUUAGCAAGGUUGUGAAUAAUCUAGUUUCGUUUCAGGCAGUGGUGGGGCAGAGGUGAAAAUCAAUUACUAAAGAAUUGUGUUUGUGGCAUAAGGCAAAGACAAUGACUUUGCUUUUCCUAGAUUUUGCUUGAUGUCAGAUAAGCAAAGUAAAAUUAUAGGCAGUAGAGGAAUUGAAAGAGUUGGUGAUAGAAAGUUGAACUGAGUAUUGUUACCAAGCAUUCAAAACUUGAAUUAAUCUGAAAACAGUGUGUAGAUGAGAAAGAAGGGUGUGUUGAAUGUAUAUCUUUGAGAACUCUAGGGGUCAUAGUGCAGUGGCAAAACAAGAAACCAUUGCAAGAAAUUCUGAAUACUAAGUGGAUAGGUUAAAAAAACUACGAAACAACUGUGAAAGGUAGUGAUGACAAUCACAGCUCAUGACUUUUUAAAAAUGGAAAUGGGAGAAAGUUACCCAAAAAUAUGAUUUAUGAUUGCAUGCUUUUGACAGAAAAUGUUUUAAACAUUUUUGUGACAAUAAGUUACUAUUCUACUAAAAUAUUUCCACUGGCACUGGAAAUGGCAUAUUAUAUAUUUGAUUUAUUAACCUGACAUCCAAAUUUUCCUGUCUCCGUCGGUGAUGUUAAUUCCUUCUUCAGAUGGCUUUCAGCAUUUCACUUGAAUGUAAAGGACACCACAAUCAAAUCUGUCCUCAAAUCAAUCCACAAACAGGUUGCUGGAUAAAAGCAGGAGAGCUCGGUGCACACCACCAUCUUUGAAUGUUUCUUCCUUCAACAUAUCUUCCUUCCACCCUAAACAUAUUAAAACAGCCAUCCCCUAUGGACAAGCCCUACGCAUACACAGGAUCUGUUCAGAUGAGGAGGAAUGUGACGGACACCUGAAGGUGCUCAACGAUGCCCUCAUAAGAACAGGGUACAGUACUCAACUCAUUGAUCACCAGUGCCACAACGAGAAACUAUAAUGACCACCUUGGGAGACAGACAUGGGUUCCAACCGAUAUGGUACCCUUCAUUGCCCAGUACCUCCCAGGGGCCGAGAAACUGUGCCAUUUUCUUCGCAGCCUGCAACACAUUAUUGAUGAAAAUGAGCAUCUCACCAAGACCUUCCUUAUGCCUCCACUUCUUGCCUUUGAGCAACCACCAAACCUGAAACAGAUGAUUGUUCACAGCAAACUGCACAGCCUUCAGGACAUCAUCAACCGCAACUCCAUACAACCCUGUCACGACAACCACUAGAAGACGUGUCAGUGUUGAUAAGGGUACCACCAUUACAUGUGUGAACACAACCCACCAUGUACACAGCAGGUACUCAUGAGACUUGGCCAACAUUAUCUAUCUCAUACGCUGCAGGCAAGGAUACCCUGAGGCAUGAUACAUUGAUGAGACCCAGCAGAUGCUACGACAAUGGAUGAAUGGACACCACACAUCAAGCACCAGGCAUGGGUGUUCCCACCCAGUUGGGGAACACGUCAGCCAUCAGGGACAUUUGGCCUCGGACCUUAGGGUGACCAUCCUCCAAGGUGGACUUUGGUACAGGCAACAACGCAAAGUGGCCGAGCAGAUGCUUAUAGCCAAGUUCGAUACCCAUGAGAAUGGCCUCAAAUGGGACCUUGGGUUCAUGUCAUACUACAGCUGACCCCAUUACACAAACUCUCACACACAAACACACACACAUUCUCUUACAUCCUUACACUCACGCAGACCCUCUCUCACAUACACACAUAUACCCCUCACACCCCAAGCACACACCCUCUCAUAGAAUUAUACCCUAUCACACCCACUUCACCAAGCUUGCACACACGCAAGCACACACUCUCACAUCCGUACACACACAAACAACGUUUAUGGGGUGAAUUUAUAUUUGCAUAUACAUCCCAUUUUGCUCAAAAAAUACAUAACCUACAGGCAGUCAAUCCAUGUAAUAUCGUGUAAAUUUCACAUUAGAAAUAGAACCAGACUGACUCAAGAUUGGGAUAUAGACAGGCUUUAACCUCACACCUUUAAUGCAUUGUCUGAGCUAAGAUGGCACCUUUUGUUAUAGAACUUUAAGCUAUCUUGACAAUGUGACUUUAAAGUUGUCCUGGGAUUUACAUAUUAAAGAAACGAAACUAACAAACACAUUCUAAAAGAAUUAACAGCAAUCUAGGUUUGUUCAAUAUAUAAUUUCAGCUGCAUGACACGGUGAUCUUUUGCUCUAAAUUCUGUUUCUUAUGACGCCGCUUCACAAACACCUGAUGAAGAAGCAAUGCUUUGAAAGCUUCAAAUAAACCUG